GCUUACGGCCAUACCACCCUGAGCGCGCCCGAUCUCGUCUGAUCUCGGAAGCUAAGCAGGGUCGGGCCUGGUUAGUACUUGGAUGGGAGACCGCCUGGGAAUACCAGGUGCUGUUAAGC
rnacentral:rRNA from 1 species